AGCUUUACGGACCUCCCGAAGGAGAAGGCAGAUGGGACGGAGCAGGUGGAGAGACGAGAGCUUGGAUUCGUCCAGCCUUCUGGAGUGACAGAUGGCAUGAGAGAGUCCUUCACCGUAUAUGAAAGCCAGGGGGCAGUGCCAAACACGUGGCACCAGGAGAUGGAAGAUGUCAUCAGGCUGGCCCAGAAGGAGGAGGAGAUGAAGGUGAAUCUGCUGGAGCUGCAAGAGCUGGUGUUGCCCCUUGUGGGCAACCAUGAGGGGCAUGGCAAAUUCCUCACCGCUGCCCAGAACCCUGCUGAUGAGCCCACUCCAGGGCCCCCAGCCCCCCAGGAACUGGGGGCUGCCGGUGAGCAGGAUGAUUUUUAUGAAGUGAGCCUGGACAACAAUGUGGAGCCUGCACCAGGAGCGGCCAGGGAGGGUUCUCCCCAUGACAACCCCACUGCACAGCAGAUCGUGCAGCUGUCUCCUGUAAUGCAGGACACCUAGGAGCACCCAGGCUUGCCCAGCAAACCCUGCGUGCCAUUCUUUUACCAGGCAGCCGAGAACAGGGAGAUAAACAUCAUCAUCUUCUAAGAGCUGGUCAAGAAAUUUAAAACAACAACAACAACAAAAAGUUACAGGGUUCAUCUCCUACACAAUUCAUUUACUCCAUUUGAAUGCUAGAGCCACUCACAUUUAUUUGUGUUUCUAAUUUACCGUUUAAAUUUAUUUGUAAAAAGUUAAGGGAGAGUUGGUCUUUCCCUGAUGUUCUUUCUGGCAUCCUUUAGCAUUUUUAUUUUUUACUUGAUAAUUGUAGGUCAUUAGCACGCAUAUCGAGUUUGCCCUUAGGUGGUGGGAAUUCAUACACACAAAGACCCACUAUUUGCACAAAACUAUUCUUGCUGGUUUGGAACAGGCUGCCAUGCUUUUUAAAUGUUAUUGCAGCACAUAUAUUCAUUACAGAAUUCAGAUAAAAUGUGCUUAUGUUCUGCUAUUACGUUUGAUUGAAUCCUAACCACAGUGAGCUCUUCAUUAGCUCAAUAUGUGGUUUGCCCUCAAGUGCGCACUGUUUAUUACUUUGUAAUAUGCCACUGUGAGUACUGACAUUUAGAGUUGUUUAAAGGCCGAGAACUGGAAACAGCCUUUCCCCUAUUUUCUGUGUAUUGGGGAUGGGAGUCAUAACAUUUUGGGGAGCUUUUUAAAUCUCACAGAAGAGGAAAGUGGCCUGCUCUGGCAGGUGUGUGCAGGAUACAGUGUGUUUCAUUUGUUCUGGUGCCAAGAAUGAGCACUGUACUAUGGUAGUUCCCUUAGGAUUUGUGUGUGCUCUGGGCUUAUGAAGAUAUUGCAUCAUGAGCUGCAGCAGUUGUACCCUUUCUCGAUGACCUAAAAAGGGAUUAUUUCUGAGGAAUGAAAGGCUCCCAUCAUUGACUGUGGAUGUGGAAAACCUUUUCUAGCGUAGAGCAUUUAUAUCUAC
rnacentral:lncRNA from 1 species